rnacentral:lncRNA from 1 species
CAGGUGGCCUCCUGCUUGGGGUCUGUGGUCUGACGGGGUGCGCUGGGCGCGCUGUUAGUGGACUACACGGGGCGAGAGCGGGGCGGGAGACCUUGAAGACCCUCCCCAGGACCCCUGUGCGGUGGGUGUCCUGUGAGGUGCGCAGUCCUCCCCCGCAGGCGGCAGUUGGAUGCGGAUAAAUAUGAGAAUGAUCCAGAAUUAGAAAAGAUCCGAAAAGAGAGAAACUAUUCCUGGAUGGACAUAAUAACCAUAUGCAAGGAUAAACUACCAAAUUAUGAAGAAAAGAUGUACACGGGGCUUCUGACCUUCUGGUGUGAUCUUUGUGACGACCGUGUGUCGUGUGAGGCGCGAGACGACUGCAGUGCGGGUGAGGCCCGUGAGGCUGCCCUGCGCGGCAGGAAGGGAGCAGGAGUCCGGACGUGGUGGCGUGUUGACCGCGCAGCUCGGCUGCGUGCCGUUGGGCAGGUGCCCGGCCCGUGUGGGCCCCGCUCCCUCGAGGGU